CUUCAGGCUCCCCAGCCGGACGGGGCGCUGCGCGGUGUGCGCCUGGCCGUAGGUCGCCAGCAGCGCCCGCGCCUC
rnacentral:antisense_RNA from 1 species